GUGCACUCACAUGUGCCCCUACACACACACAAAUGCACCUGUGCACUCACAUGUGCCCCUACACACACACAUGCACCUGUGCACUCACAUGUGCCCCUACACACACACAAAUGCACCUGUACACUCACACGUGCCCCCACACACAAAUGCACCUGUACACUCACAUGUGCCCCUACAUACAAAUGCACUUGUGCACUCACAUGUGCCCCUCCACAGACACAAAUGCACCUGUGCACUCACAUCUGUCCCUACACACACACAAAUGCAUCUGUACACUCACAUGUGCCCUCCUCCACACUCAAAUUUUUA
rnacentral:lncRNA from 1 species